GAUGAAGAACGCAGCGAAAUGCGAUAAGUAAUGUGAAUUGCAGAAUUCAGUGAACCAUCGAUCUUUGAACGCACAUUGCGCCCGGCAGUAAUCUGCCGGGCAUGCCUGUCCGAGCGUCAUUUCUACCCUCGAGCGAGUCCAGCAUCUAGGUGCUGGGCCUCGCCCGGCGUUGGAGCACUACGGGAAGCCCUGUGCUGUCCCCCGUAGGCCCCGAAAUGAAGUGGCGGUCCUGCCGCGGCGCCCCCUGCGUAGUAUAACAGCUCGCUUCGGGACCCGGUGGAGGCCUGCCGUCAAACCUAUACUCUCUAAGUUUGACCUCGGAUCAGGUAGGGUUACCCGCUGAACUUAAGCAUAUCAAUAAGCGGAGGA
rnacentral:misc_RNA from 1 species